UAGGGAGAGUGGCAACACUCACCCAGGGCCGGAAAGUUGGCCAAACUUGGUCAUUUAGAGGAAGUAAAAGUCGUAACAAGGUUUCCGUAGGUGAACCUGCGGAAGGAUCAUUACAGAGCGUGAGGCUCUGCCCGGCUUCCCGCCGCGCGCAGAGUCGACCCUCCACCCGUGUUAACCUAUAUCAUGUUGCUUUGGCGGAUCGAGCCCUCGGCCCACCGGCUUUUGCUGGAGCGUGUCCGCCAAAGACUCAACCUAACUCGUGUAAACAUGCAGUCUAAGGAAAGAUUUUGAAUCAUUAAAACUUUCAACAACGGAUCUCUUGGCUCUGGCAUCGAUGAAGAACGCAGCGAAAUGCGAUAAGUAAUGUGAAUUGCAGAAUUUAGUGAAUCAUCGAAUCUUUGAACGCACAUUGCGCCCCUUGGUAUUCCGAGGGGCAUGCCUGUUCGAGCGUCAUAACACUCCCUCAAGCCUCACGGUUCCGUGUAGCUUGGCGUUGGGGCUCGCCGAUUGGUGGCCCUUAAAAGCAGUGGCAGUGCCGUCGUAAGCUCUACGCGUAGUACAUAAUCUCGCGACAGAGUAGCGGUGGUGUCUUGCCAAAAGCCCAAAUAUAUGACAUGUUGACCUCGAAUCAGGUAGGGAUACCCGCUGAACUUAAGCAUAUCAAUAAGCGGAGGAAAAGAAACCAACAGGGAUUACCUCAGUACG
rnacentral:rRNA from 1 species